UGGCGAACGGGUGAGUAGCACGUGGGUAAUCUGCCCUGCACUCUGGGAUAAGCCUGGGAAACUGGGUCUAAUACUGGAUAUGACCUUUCUCCUUAUGGGGUUUGGUGGAAAGUUUUUCGGUGUAGGAUGAGCCCGCGGCCUAUCAGCUUGUUGGUGGGGUGAUGGCCUACCAAGGCGACGACGGGUAGCCGGCCUGAGAGGGUGAUCGGCCACAUUGGGACUGAGAUACGGCCCAG
rnacentral:rRNA from 1 species